GGGUGGUUCGCAUAGAGGCCGAUUGCACCUGGCUGUAAACCAGGCGACUUAGUCCGCGGGAGUUCGAAUCUCUCACCACCCACCA
rnacentral:tRNA from 1 species